GCUGAUCUAUAUCUGCGGCGAGGCUGGGACGGAGGCACCGCCCCGCCCGACCCCACAGAACCUCGCGGGCCCUACACUCCCCCUGCCGAGGUUGAAGUCCCCAGCGGUUGGAAGAUCGGCCAAUUGUAGUGUAUUUAUCAGAAAAGUGACUCAUCCUUGAUCCUCAUUUCCCGGUCUGUCGCCUUUGUAGAAACCCCGAGGAUGGCAACCUUCAACCUGGAGAUCCCUGAAGCCUUGACCAGGGAGGUUUACAGUGAAGCGUUCCUAUUAGCGACUACAGCUAUCUAACCUCAGUUCCUCCUGCUGCAGUUUCGGUCCCUUUCUCCUCCUCCUCCAGCAACCACGCCCUCCAUGAAUCAGCUUCUUGCACCAGCAGAUGAGCCCUUUAAAGGGAUUGCAUCAGGGAUAACGCUUGGGGGAUCACUGUGAGGACUCGGAGUUAUAGAAACAGCUUUUUGCAAGACGCAGCGAGCACUCAUACUCAUCUCAGUUGAAGGGCUUCAAUGAGGUGGGUGACCAAAAGACAGGCAUAAAGAAGGCCCCAGCCCAGCAAGCUCCACUCUCUGACAAAACAAAAAGCCUAGGGAUUCCGGAAGCCCUGACUCUGACAAAAAUGAGUUCUGGGUUUUCCAGAGCUCUAAUUAUCAGCUAGAUGAAUCACUCUGCGCUGACACCACCAUUCCUACCCCCAGGAGACUCUCAGCUGAUUGAAAAUAUAGGAUUUUAACAAAGGAGAGGAGGAGGAACAGAAAGCUAGGAGGAGAAGAAGUAAUGAAUAGAAACCAAAGGUGCCAGCCAGAGGAAAUGAGAAACUGUCAUCAGGACACUAGCAUGAGGAGAACGCUGGGACACACACACACACACACACUCACACUCACACUCACGCUGACAUACUCUUGCUGGCUCUCCAACUCUAGGCUUACGGCAGACGGUGCUGCCAUAACAAAGUGACGGCUGUCACAACAGCAUGAGAUGGUGGCUUGACAAGGUAUAGGCAGAUCUGCCUAUCACAGAAGGAGGGAAAGAGACCUUCAACCUCCAGGGGCUUCCUCAGGCUUCUGAACCCUCGUCUCCAUUACUGGUUGGCUCUGGCUUCUCUUUGUCACCAAAUCGCAAGGCCUAAAUCUGGCAAAUUUUGAGUGUCAGACCUACACCCUGUGGCUAGGUACCACCACUGUGGUGAACAAAGUCACCUCUUAUACUCUGUCAUCAGUAUGAUGCCAAGAGUGCUGGGAAACAGAAUAGCACAGCAGUUAAGAUCAUCGAGUUGGAGUCGCACAGACCUAAGUUCAAAUCCCCAUUCUGUUGUUCACCUUGAGCAGGCCACAUAAAUUCCUUGAGCCGGUUUGCUCAAAUGUAAAA